GCCACCUUAGCUCAGCGGUAGAGCAACGCACUUGUAAUGCGUGGGUCGAGAGUUCAAUCCUCUCAGGUGGCUCCA
rnacentral:tRNA from 1 species